rnacentral:rRNA from 1 species
CUACGUGCCAGCAGCCGCGGUAAUACGGAAGGUCCGGGCGUUAUCCGGAUUUAUUGGGUUUAAAGGGAGCGUAGGCCGGAGAUUAAGUGUGUUGUGAAAUGUAGACGCUCAACGUCUGACUUGCAGCGCAUACUGGUUUCCUUGAGUACGCACAACGUUGGCGGAAUUCGUCGUGUAGCGGUGAAAUGCUUAGAUAUGACGAAGAACUCCGAUUGCGAAGGCAGCUGACGGGAGCGCAACUGACGCUUAAGCUCGAAGGUGCGGGUAUCGAACAGGAUUAGAUACCCUGGUAGUCCGCACAGUAAACGAUGGAUGCCCGCUGUUGGUACCUGGUAUCAGCGGCUAAGCGAAAGCAUUAAGCAUCCCACCUGGGGAGUACGCCGGCAACGGUGAAACUCAAAGGAAUUGACGGGGGCCCGCACAAGCGGAGGAACAUGUGGUUUAAUUCGAUGAUACGCGAGGAACCUUACCCGGGCUUGAAUUGCAGAGGAAGUAUUUAGAGAUA